rnacentral:rRNA from 1 species
GAUUCCCUUAGUAACGGCGAGCGAACAGGGAUGAGCCCAGUAUGUAAAUCUCCAGCUUUCAGGCUGGCGAAUUGUAGUCUGCAGWAGCAUCUCCUGGAAUCUCGYCGGCCCAAGCAUCUUGGAAUGGAUCGCCUCAGAGGGUGAGAGCCCCGUAGGCCGGCCGAGUAGUCCAUCACGGAGUGCUCUCGGAGAGUCGGGUUGUUUGGGAAUGCAGCCCCAAUUGGGUGGUAAACCCCAUCUAAGGCUAAAUASCAGUGGGAGACCGAUAGCAAAAAAGUACCUCGAGGGAACGAUGAAAAGACCGCUGGCAAGCGAGUGAAAGAGUGCAUGAAAUUGUAUAGUGGGAAGGGAUGGCCUGGCGUGCUGCCUCCGAGUAUACUCUGCUCUUGGAGCUCUUGAAUACAYCGGAGGCUGGUUGGUGCCGAUACCCGUGCUUGCAAAUCCCCAGGCUAAGGUGUUUGGCUCUUCGAGCGCGGGUGUUGAGGUUGAUCGUUGCUCCGUUUUAAGCUGCAUCGACAUAGCACCAGCUGAAGCUUGUCCAUCUAC